rnacentral:tRNA from 1 species
CGCGGGGUAGAGCAGUUUGGCAGCUCGCAAGGCUCAUAACCUUGAGGUCACGGGUUCAAAUCCUGUCUCCGCAA